GGUGAACGCUGGCGGCGUGCCUAAUACAUGCAAGUCGAGCGAACAGAUGAGGAGCUUGCUCCUCUGACGUUAGCGGCGGACGGGUGAGUAACACGUGGAUAACCUACCUAUAAGACUGGGAUAACUUCGGGAAACCGGAGCUAAUACCGGAUAAUAUAUUGAACCGCAUGGUUCAAUAGUGAAAGACGGUUUUGCUGUCACUUAUAGAUGGAUCCGCGCCGCAUUAGCUAGUUGGUAAGGUAACGGCUUACCAAGGCAACGAUGCGUAGCCGACCUGAGAGGGUGAUCGGCCACACUGGAACUGAGACGCGGUCCAGACUCCUACGGGAGGCAGCAGUAGGGAAUCUUCCGCAAUGGGCGAAAGCCUGACGGAGCAACGCCGCGUGAGUGAUGAAGGUCUUCGGAUCGUAAAACUCUGUUAUUAGGGAAGAACAAAUGUGUAAGUAACUAUGCACGUCUUGACGGUACCUAAUCAGAAAGCCACGGCUAACUACGUG
rnacentral:rRNA from 1 species